GGGCGUCUCAUUUAGUCGGCAGGCUUUUUGCCAAACUCUGGAAAACACAGGAAACGAGACAGAUUUAAUGUGGAAUCACUCAGCUCUGAAUCCUCAAAUCUUUGGUCUCCACAUCCUCAAGAGAUGCACAACAAAGAUGCCAUGGCUGACUCACUCAUCACCGCUCUUAAUCUGAGUUAAUAAGAAGUGCAAACACUAUAGCGGCUGCCAGCUCUGGUAAUGAGGCGUCUCCUAUCGUCUCCAGUGCGUCUCCUAACACACUGCAAUAUGACACAAGGACAACGAGGACGAGUGAAAAUGGACCCUGAACACCAAUCUGGUGGAGUCGUCUC